GACGAACGCUGGCGGCGUGCUUAACACAUGCAAGUCGAACGAAGAGCGAUGGACGCUUGCUUCUAUCAAUCUUAGUGGCGCACGGGUGAGUAACGCGUAAUCAACCUGCCCUUCAGAGGGGGACAACAGUUGGAAACGACUGCUAAUACCGCAUACGAUCUGACCUCGGCAUCGAGGAUAGAUGAAAGGUGGCCUCUACAUGUAAGCUAUCACUGAAGGAGGGGAUUGCGUCUGAUUAGCUAGUUGGAGGGGUAACGGCCCACCAAGGCGAUGAUCAGUAGCCGGUCUGAGAGGAUGAACGGCCACAUUGGGACUGAGACACGGCCCAGACUCCUACGGGAGGCAGCAGUGGGGAAUCUUCCGCAAUAGACGAAAGUCUGACGGAGCAACGCCGCGUGAGUGAUGACGGCCUUCGGGUUGUAAAGCUCUGUUAAUCGGGACGAAAGGCCUUUUUGCGAAUAGUGAGAAGGAUUGACGGUACCGGAAUAGAAAGCCACGGCUAACUACGUG
rnacentral:rRNA from 1 species